rnacentral:lncRNA from 1 species
ACCCACUCUGAUCAGUCAGCAGCCAUUGACAUUGAGGAAAGACCUUCUACCAGGAAAAAGAUUAUGACUUGCUGAAGGCUCAGAUGAUAGUUACCAAUUUUUAGUAGCAAAAUAUUUUAAAAUUAAGGGGAGGAAAGUGUGAACUUGGGUUGUGUCGUAGAAAAUGUGAGUGUCAGAGAGGCGGAGGUUGGUAAACAAGACUGCCUGAGAAA